rnacentral:misc_RNA from 1 species
GAUGAAGAACGCAGCGAAAUACGAUACGUAAUGUGAAUUGCAGAUUUCAGUGAAUCAUCGAAUCUUUGAACGCACAUUGCGCCCGCUAGUAUUCUGGCGGGCAUGCCUGUUCGAGCGUCAUUUCAACCAUCAAGCCCUAGGCUUGCGUUGGAGCCCUGCGGCUGCCGCAGGCUCCCAAAUCCAGUGGCGGGCUCGUCGUCGUACCGAGUGCAGUAAACAUCCUCGCUCAGGGAACGUGACGGGUUCUUGCCGUGAAACCCCCCACAUAUCAAGGUUGACCUCGGAUCAGGUAGGAAUACCCGCUGAACUUAAGCAUAUCAAUAAGCGGAGGA